CAGUCGCCACGGUAAUACAGAGGUCCCGAGCGUUGUUCGGAUUCACUGGGCGUAAAGGGUGUGCAGGAGGUUUGGUAAGUCAGGUGUGAAAUCCCGCAGCUUAACUGUGGAACUGCAUUCGAUACUGCUGAACUAGAGGCUUGGAGGGGGAAGCGGAAUUCUUGGUGUAGCGGUGAAAUGCGUAGAUAUCAAGAGGAACACCGGUGGCGAAGGCGGCUUCCUGGACAAGUCCUGACUCUGAAACACGAAAGCUAGGGGAGCGAAUGGGAUUAGAGACCCCCGUAGUCCCUGUCUCUUAUAC
rnacentral:rRNA from 1 species